rnacentral:rRNA from 1 species
CCUACGGGUGGCUGCAGUGAGGAAUAUUGGUCAAUGGACGCAAGUCUGACCCAGCAACGUCGCGUGAAGGAUGACUGCCCUCUGGUUUUUAACCUUUUUUUAUAUGGGAGUAAAACAGGAUGUGCAUACCGUCUUAUCUGUACCCUAUUAAUAAGCAUCGGCUAACUCCGUGCCGGCAGCGGCGGUAAUACGGCGGAUCCGUGCGUUAUCCGGAUUUAUUGGGUGUAAGGGGAGCGUAGGUGGAUUGUUAAGUCAGUUGUGAAAGUUUGGGGCUCAACCCUUAAACUGCAUUUGAAACUGGCAGUCUUGAGUGCAGGAGAGGUGGUCGGAAUUCGUGGUGUAGCGGUGAAAUGCGUAGAUAUAAGGAAGAACACCGGUGGCGAAGGCAGAUUACUGGACUGUAACUGACGCUGAGGCGCGAAAGUGUGGGGAGCAAACAGGAUUAGAUACCCUGGUAGUC